rnacentral:rRNA from 1 species
GACGAACGCUGGCGGCGUGCCUAAUACAUGCAAGUUGAGCGCUGAAGGUUGGUACUUGUACCAACUGGAUGAGCAGCGAACGGGUGAGUAACGCGUGGGGAAUCUGCCUUUGAGCGGGGGACAACAUUUGGAAACGAAUGCUAAUACCGCAUAAAAACUUUAAACACAAGUUUUAAGUUUGAAAGAUGCAAUUGCAUCACUCAAAGAUGAUCCCGCGUUGUAUUAGCUAGUUGGUGAGGUAAAGGCUCACCAAGGCGAUGAUACAUAGCCGACCUGAGAGGGUGAUCGGCCACAUUGGGACUGAGACACGGCCCAAAUUCCUACGGGAGGCAGCAGUAGGGAAUCUUCGGCAAUGGACGAAAGUCUGACCGAGCAACGCCGCGUGAGUGAAGAAGGGUUUCGGAUCGUAAAACUCUGUUGGUAGAGAAGAACGUUGGUGAGAGUGGAAAGCUCAUCAAGUGACGGUAACUACCCAGAAAGGGACGGCUAACUACGUG